rnacentral:rRNA from 1 species
CCCGCACAAGCGGUGGAGCAUGUGGUUUAAUUCGACGCAACGCGAAGAACCUUACCAGGCUUGACAUCCCCUGACCGCGUAUGAAAGUACGUUUUCACCUCGGGUGACAGGGAGACAGGUGGUGCAUGGUUGUCGUCAGCUCGUGUCGUGAGAUGUUGGGUUAAGUCCCGCAACGAGCGCAACCCCUACGUUUAGUUGCUAACGCGUGAAGGCGAGCACUCUAGACGAACUGCCGUUGACAAAACGGAGGAAGGUGGGGAUGACGUCAAAUCAUCAUGCCCCUUAUGUUCUGGGCUACACACGUGCUACAAUGGCCGGUACAGACGGACGCAAAGCCGCGAGGUGGAGCAAAUCCUAAAAAGCCGGUCUCAGUUCGGAUUGCAGGCUGCAAUUCGCCUGCAUGAAGUCGGAAUCGCUAGUAAUCGCAGGUCAGCAUACUGCGGUGAAUACGUUCCCGGGCCUU